rnacentral:rRNA from 1 species
GACGAACGCUGGCGGCGUGCCUAAUACAUGCAAGUCGAACGAACCGCGACUAAGUGCUUGCACUAAGUCAAGGUGAGUGGCGAACGGGUGAGUAACACGUGGGUAACCUACCUCAUAGUGGGGGAUAACAGUCGGAAACGACUGCUAAUACCGCAUAGGACAUAGGAUCACAUGAUCCAGUGAGGAAAGGUGGCGCAAGCUAUCGCUAAGAGAUGGACCCGCGGUGCAUUAGCUAGUUGGUAGGGUAAAGGCCUACCAAGGCGAUGAUGCAUAGCCGACCUGAGAGGGUGAUCGGCCACAUUGGGACUGAGACACGGCCCAAACUCCUACGGGAGACAGCAGUAGGGAAUCUUCCGCAAUGGACGCAAGUCUGACGGAGCAACGCCGCGUGAGUGAAGAAGGUCUUCGGAUCGUAAAGCUCUGUUGUUAGAGAAGAACAGCGCAUAGAGUAACUGCUAUGCGUGUGACGGUAUCUAACCAGAAAGCCACGGCUAACUACGUG